rnacentral:rRNA from 1 species
UACCAGCUCUCCGAGUUGUAGGGAUGAUUAUUGGGCUUAAAGCGUCCGUAGCUGGCUUAGCAAGUCUCCUGUUAAAUUCAGCGACCUAAUCGUUGAGCCGCGGGAGAUACUACUAGGCUAGGAGGCGGGAGAGGUCGACGGUACUUUCGGGGUAGGGGUGAAAUCCUAUAAUCCCGGGAGGACCACCAGUGGCGAAGGCUGUCGACUAGAACGCGCUCGACGGUGAGGGACGAAAGCUGGGGGAGCGAACCGGAUUAGAUACCCGGGUAGUCCCAGCUGUAAACGAUGCGGGCUAGGUGUUGGGGUGGCUACGUGCCACUUCAGUGCCGCAGGGAAGCCAUUAAGCCCGCCGCCUGGGGAGUACGGCCGCAAGGCCGAAACUUAAAGGAAUUGGCGGGGGAGCACCACAAGGCGUGAAGCUUGCGGUUC